UACGUAGGGGGCAAGCGUUGUUCGGAUUUAUUGGGCGUAAAGAGCGUGUAGGCGGCCACACAGGUCAGCUGUGAAAACUCGAGGCUCAACCUCGAGACGUCGGUUGAAACCGUAUGGCUAGAGUCCGGAAGAGGAGAGUGGAAUUCCCGGUGUAGCGGUGAAAUGCGCAGAUAUCGGGAAGAACACCAAUAGCGAAGGCAGCUCGCUGGGACGUUACUGACACUGAGGCGCGAAAGCGUGGGGAGCGAACAGG
rnacentral:rRNA from 1 species